rnacentral:rRNA from 1 species
AUUGAACGCUGGCGGCAGGCCUAACACAUGCAAGUCGAACGAGUGGCGGACGGGUGAGUAAUGUCUGGGAAACUGCCCGCUGGAGGGGGAUAACUACUGGAAACGGUAGCUACUACCGCAUACCAUCGGAUGUGCCCAGAGGGGAUUAGCUAGUAGGUGGGGUAACGGCUCACCUAGGCGACGAUCCCUAGCUGGUCUGAGAGGAUGACCAGCCACACUGUAACGGAGACACGUUCCAGACCCCUACGGUAGGGAGCAGUGGGGAAUAUUGCACAAUGGGCGCAGGCCUGAUGCAGCCAUGCCGCGUGUAUGAAGAAGGCCUUCGGGGUGUAAAGUACUUUCAGCGAGGAGGCGUGACUCGCAGAAGAAGCACCGGCUAACUCCGUGCCAGCAGCCGCGGUAAUUC